rnacentral:rRNA from 1 species
GAGUUUUGAUCCUGGCUCAGAUUGAACGCUGGCGGCAUGCUUUACACAUGCAAGUCGAACGGCAGCACAGGGAGCUUGCUCCCGGGUGGCGAGUGGCGCACGGGUGAGUAAUACAUCGGAACGUGUCCUGUUGUGGGGGGAUAACUGCUCGAAAGGGUGGCUAAUACCGCAUGAGACCUGAGGGUGAAAGCGGGGGAUCGUAAGACCUCGCGCAAUUGGAGCGGCCGAUGCCCGAUUAGCUAGUUGGUGAGGUAAAGGCUCACCAAGGGCGACGAUCGGUAGCUGGUCUGAGGAGGACGACCAGCCACCACUGGGACUGAGACACGGCCCAGACUCCUACGGGAGGCAGCA